rnacentral:lncRNA from 1 species
GUCCUCCUUAUGUGAUCUCUAUGGGCCCUCCAUGGGUCCUCUCUAUGAUCCUCUCUAUGGUCUUUUGGUCCUCCCCGUGGGUCCUCCUCUCUUUAAGGUGGUCCUCCCUAUGGUCUUUCUCCGGAGACUCUAUGGUUUCUAUGGGCUCCUCCCCAUGGCUCCUCUCUAUGAUCCCUUAUGCUCCCUAUGGGUUUUCUCUGUGGGUUUCUCUGUGGUUUCUUUGGGUCCUCUCUAUGGUUUCUGUCUAUGGUCCUCCCUGUGGCUCCUCUCUAUGGUCGCUGUGCAUCCUCUCUAUGGCCUUUCUCUGGGGACUCUAUGGUUUUCUGGGGCUCCUCACUAUGGGUCCUUCCUCUGGGGACUCUGUUUUUUUCUGGGGGUCCUCCCAGUAGCUCCUCUCUAUGGUCCAUGUGGGUUCUCUCUAUCACAUCUCUCUGGGGACUCUAUGGUUUCUGUGUGGUUCUCUCUCUGGUUUUCUCUGUGGUUUCUAUUGAGUCCUCCCUCUGGGUUCUCUCUGGUCUUUCUCUGGGGACUCUAUGGUUUUCAUGGGGGUCCUCCCAGUGGCUCCUCUCUCUGAUCCCCGUGGGUUCUCUCUAUCACAUUUCUCUGGGGACUCUAUGGUUUCUAUGGGGUUCUCUAUGGCUUCUAUGGGUCCUCCCUAUGGGUCCUCUCUGGCCUCUCUCUGCAGACUCUAUGGUUUUUCUGGGGGUCCUCCCUGUGGCUCCUCUCUAUGGUCCCUGUGGUCCUCCCUGUGGCCUUUCUAUGGGGACUCUAUGGUUUUCUGGGGGUCCUCCCUAUGUGUCCUCUCUGUCCUCUCUCUGCAGACUCUAUGGUUUUUCUGGGGGUCUUCCCUAUGGGUCCUCUCUGUCUUCUCUCUGCAGUCUCUAUGGUUUUUCUGGGGGUCCUCCCUGCGACUCCUCUCUAUGCUCCUCAAUGAUUUCUAUGGGGUUUUCCAAUGCCUCCUCUCUAUGGUCCUCCCGCGCCGUCUCUAUGGUUUCCCGGUGGUGGGAAGGGGGGGGGGUCUCUAUGGUAUCUUUAAGCCCCGCCCCCCUCGCCGACGCCCCCCACCCACUUCCUCCCCUUUGCCGUAAGCCCCGCCCCUUCCGGUGGCGCAGAG